rnacentral:lncRNA from 1 species
UCUGAUGCGCAUGGCUCCAGAGCAGCAAGAGACAAGGAUCCCAGGCUGAAAUCCUAAGAGGGGACGCUGGGUGAGUUCUGCAAAAGUCACUGAGCUUUGACCUCCUGGCAGUUCAAGGGGAACCAUGCAGGAUGAAGAUGGAUAUAUCACCUUAAACAUCAAGCCCCGGAAACAAGCUCUCAGCUCAGAAAUACAUCACAGACAGGAUUACUUCAGUCCGUUGGAUUGGAUUAUCACGCCAGAACUCUAAGAAAGACUGGAUGUGGGAAGACAGCUCAGUUCUUCACAAUAAUUCGAUUGAUCUUUCUAGGAAUACAGAAGAAAACAUGAAUUGUGCUUAUCUUCAUAAUGGAAAAAUCCACCCAGCUUCCUGUACAGAGAGACAUUACUUAAUAUGUGAGAGAAAUGCUGCCCUGACAAGAGUGGAACAACUGCUUUAAUGCAGAAGGACCGGCAGGAUGUCAGAGAAGUGCUUGACCAUGCAAUAAAAGAUCUGGACAAAGCACCCAUAAAA